AAAUGAAUAGACGGGGACCCGCACAAGCAGCGGAGCAUGUGGUUUAAUUCGAAGCAACGCGAAGAACCUUACCAGGUCUUGACAUCCUCUUGACCGGUCCUUAGCCGGACCUUUCCUUCGGGACAAGAGAGACAGGUGGUGCAUGGUUGUCGUCAGCUCGUGUCGUGAGAUGUUGGGUUAAGUCCCGCAACGAGCGCAACCCUUGUCUUUAGUUGCCAUCAGGUAAUGCUGGGCACUCUAGAGAGACUGCCGAUGACAAAUCGGAGGAAGGUGGGGAUGACGUCAAAUCAUCAUGCCCCUUAUGAUCUGGGCUACACACGUGCUACAAUGGUCGGUACAACGAGAAGCGAAGCCGCGAGGUGGAGCAAAUCUUUAAAAGCCGAUCCCAGUUCGGAUUGUAGGCUGAAACUCGCCUACAUGAAGUUGGAGUUGCUAGUAAUCGCGGAUCAGAAUGUCGCGGUGAAUGCGUUCCCGGGUCUUGUACACACCGCCCGU
rnacentral:rRNA from 1 species